ACGGAGGGAGCUAGCGUUGUUCGGAAUUACUGGGCGUAAAGAGCACGUAGGUGGCGAAGACAGUCAGUGGUGAAAGGCCUGGGCUCAACCCAGGAACUGCCAUUGAUACUGCUUUGCUAGAGUCCGGGAGAGGAUAGCGGAAUUUCCAGUGUAGAGGUGAAAUUCGUAGAUAUUGGAAAGAACACCAGUUGCGAAGGCGGCUAUCUGGACCGGUACUGACACUGAGGUGCGAAAGCGUGGGGAGCGAACAGG
rnacentral:rRNA from 1 species